UACGUAGGGUCCGAGCGUUGUCCGGAAUUAUUGGGCGUAAAGAGCUCGUAGGCGGUUCGUCGCGUCGGCUGUGAAAACCCGAGGCUCAACCUCGGGCCUGCAGUGGAUACGGGCGGACUGGAGUUCGGCAGGGGAGACUGGAAUUCCUGGUGUAGCGGUGAAAUGCGCAGAUAUCAGGAGGAACACCGGUGGCGAAGGCGGGUCUCUGGGCCGAUACUGACGCUGAGGAGCGAAAGCGUGGGGAGCGAACAGG
rnacentral:rRNA from 1 species